UGCCCGCUCUGUGCCCCCGAGGGCCUGUGCUCACCCGGCCCUGCCCUGUUCCCUGCCCCCUGCCCCCCAGCGGGUGUGACACACGUAGGUGGACUGUUCCCAGAAGCACAGUCCUAGGGGUCGCCAAGCGGGGGGCACGUUGGCCGUCGGGGGCCCAGGGGGAGGAGCCGUGCAGCGUUGCCCCAGGCAGGCCGGAUGAGCUGGAGUCUUUCCGGGGCGGGGCGGGGCCUGUAGCCCUGCGAUCCCCACUCCCCCGCGUCCCUGUGCUCACCCGGCUGCUAGGUGGCCAUGAUGCACCCCUUCCUCCUGUGAUGCUGGAAAUGGAAGAGGGCCCUUUCUGACGUGGUCAGAGCACAGCCUUAGCGUCCAGAGGAUGGGACCCAGGGCCACCGGGCCUGUCCCACUGUGUACCCAGGAGAAGUCACGGAGAUGGAGGAGCUCUGGCUUCUUCAUUCGCUCAGGGGUGGGGGUUCUCCCACCUCUACGGAAAGGGGGCUCUCCAGUUAACUGAGUUAACGGGUGGGAAACAGUGCUGGUCUGUGGUGUGACCCCUCGGGUAACGCCCAGUCUGUUCCCUGCACCCUCUGGGCAGUGGGCCUGGGACCCACGUGGCCUGAGGAGACAGGGCAGGGGUCAGACAGAUUCCAGGGAAGGACACGGCAGGAAGGCAUCCGCCUUGGGCAGAGGCUGCAGGCCACUGUGACCCCGAAUCUCUGCCCGGGGAGGCGGGGGCUCCCACCACGAGCAGGUGGCCCGUUUGUUUCCAGAACGCUCGCGGUCUGUGUCAGGGGGUGGGCCUUGCUUGUCUCACUUUGUGAACCCAGCACCGUCCUGAGACGCCGGUGCGGUCAGCAAGGCUGUCCCCACUUUGCAGAAGGACAGACUGGGUGACUCCCGCCCAGCUGAUGGCGGGACACGGUGAAGACCUCUCAAGACUCCGUCUCCAUCGGCGCACUGUCAGCUCAACGCCGGCGCGUCCAGCUCUAGGGAAACCUGAUUCCCCAGAGGGAAAAUGGGAGCAGUGACUUUCAUCACGUUACGCCUUAGGUGAAACAAAGUUGAAAGAAAGAGACCUCAGUGUUGGAUAUUAGGCAAAAUCUUUGUGAAAAACUUAUUCUACAGUAAAAGCAGUGCGGGCCGACUGAGAGAAGCAGAGGGUGCCCUGGAUUCUGAGACAUGGUGUUUCCUGUCCUGACUGGCCUCUACCCGAGGCCCCUUGAGAUCACCACCCAGGGCCUUCGUGGAGGAAGGAGCAGAGCUUCUUCCAUCCCAGGGGUGGAUUUCUGUUGGAACAGUCUCUCUCUCUCUCUCUCGUCGGUCCAUCUCCUCUGUCUCCCUUCCCACAGGAUCUGCUUUAUUCUACUUCCUUUGCGGGAUCUUAAGCCAGCAGCUCAGGAGACUGUUCUGUUUAUUGACGCUUCUCUUCAUCAGCACUCUGACAGGAAGAAGACUACUUGAUUCCCAUUUGUUUUCCUUGCCAAAAUAAUAAAGAAUGCAUGUAUUAAUACCCACCCACCCACCCCCCCCCCACUAUG